rnacentral:lncRNA from 1 species
UAUAUAUAUUUUUCUUUAUUAUUGUGCCCUAUCUUUCUCUAAGUCUACAUUGAUUCCAGGAGAAUGCAAGUCUUUCACGAAUACUUCCUUCUAUGUGAUUUUAGAUCUACCUCGUUUCUUUAAAAUAUAUUCUCUAACCAUCAUUCCAGGGUCCUUUCGAUCAAAAUCAAGACAAAGAAAAGAGGUCUUCUUUAUUUUUCUUGAUAUCACCUACGGACCGGUGCACUUAGAGAUCAAUUCAGGCAUGACCAAACCAUCUUAAGCAACUUUCGAUCAUUUUAUCCUCAAUGUGUGCUACUUGCACUUCCUAGAACAACGGGGAAAAAAUUGUUUAGUCCUACUUAUAACCUUUUGUUUUCCUUUUUCUAUACGGUAAUAAUUGUAGUAACAAUGAUGAAUCUCGUGUAUACAACUAGUAUACUAAAAAGCAAAGAAUCUAUAAGAAAAAUGAUUUAACACAAACGACACCCAAUCUACAAUACAAAAUGGAACAUCAUGCAUACACCAAAAAGAAACUAGGACUGAGAGGCUACUCUAUACAUAUAGUCGUACUGUAUUUCCUCAACAACGCUCAUAUUUUUCUCCUCCCGCAGAAUGCACAUGAAAUGCUAGUGGAGCCACAUUCCACGCCCACCAUCUUCUCUUCCUUCUUAUAAAAGCCCAACUGAAUAGUA